rnacentral:rRNA from 1 species
UACGUAGGGGGCUAGCGUUAAUCGGAAUUACUGGGCGUAAAGCGCGCGUAGGUGGUUUGUUAAGUUGAAUGUGAAAUCCCCGGGCUCAACCUGGGAACUGCAUGCAAAACUGGCAAGCUAGAGUAUGGUAGAGGGUGGUGGAAUUUCCUGUGUAGCGGUGAAAUGCGUAGAUAUAGGAAGGAACACCAGUGGCGAAGGCGACCACCUGGACUGAUACUGACACUGAGGUGCGAAAGCGUGGGGAGCAAACAGG